rnacentral:rRNA from 1 species
UAGGGAAUCUUCGGCAAUGGGGGCAACCCUGACCGAGCAACGCCGCGUGAGCGAAGAAGGUUUUCGGAUCGUAAAGCUCUGUUGUAAGUCAAGAACGAGUGUGAGAGUGGAAAGUUCACACUGUGACGGUAGCUUACCAGAAAGGGACGGCUAACUACGUGCCAGCAGCCGCGGUAAUACGUAGGUCCCGAGCGUUGUCCGGAUUUAUUGGGCGUAAAGCGAGCGCAGGCGGUUUGAUAAGUCUGAAGUUAAAGGCUGUGGCUCAACCAUAGUUCGCUUUGGAAACUGUCAAACUUGAGUGCAGAAGGGGAGAGUGGAAUUCCAUGUGUAGCGGUGAAAUGCGUAGAUAUAUGGAGGAACACCGGUGGCGAAAGCGGCUCUCUGGUCUGUAACUGACGCUGAGGCUCGAAAGCGUGGGGAGCGAACAGGAUUAGAUACCCUGGUAGUCCACGCCGUAAACGAUGAGUGCUAGGUGUUGGGUCCUUUCCGGGAUUCAGUGCCGCAGCUAACGCAUUAAGCACUCCGCCUGGGGAGUACGACCGCAAGGUUG